rnacentral:tRNA from 1 species
GGGGUGUUAGCGCAGUUGGUAGCGCGCUUCAAUGGCAUUGAAGAGGUCAGGGGUUCGACUCCCCUACACUCCACCA